rnacentral:rRNA from 1 species
AGCGAACGCUGGCGGCAGGCUUAACACAUGCAAGUCGAGCGGGCACUUCGGGGUCAGCGGCAGACGGGAGGGUAACACGUGGGAACGUACCCUUCGGGUCGGAAUAACGCUGGGAAACUAGCGCUAAUACCGGAUACGCGCUUAUGGGGAAAGGUUUACUGCCGAAGGAUCGGCCCGCGUCUGAUUAGCUAGUUGGUGGGGUAAUGGCCUACCAAGGCGACGAUCAGUAGCUGGUCUGAGAGGAUGAUCAGCCACACUGGGACUGAGACACGGCCCAGACUCCUACGGGAGGCAGCAGUGGGGAAUAUUGGACAAUGGGCGCGAGCCUGAUCCAGCCAUGCCGCGUGAGUGAUGAAGGCCUUAGGGUUGUAAAGCUCUUUUGUCCGGGACGAUAAUGACGGUACCGGAAGAAUAAGCCCCGGCUAACUUCGUG